AUUGCAUCUGCCAAAGAACCGUUCCCAGAUUUCAAGGCGUCGUUGGCGGGGGGAGAGCCUCCGGCUUCAGUCCGACUAUACAUUCCGAGAUGGUUAGAUACGCAGUAUGCUUAGCAAUGUUAGCCAUCCUCUUCAACGUGAUCCAUGGGAAAAGUAUUGAUUUGUACGAGGAGAUUUCAACGCCUCGGCUUGUCGCGGGCAUUCCAUACGGCAGCAUAUCUGGCAGAGUGGCUGAGUACUUCGCCACCUUGAAGACGCCGUCGAAGAAUGUCUUCAACGAUAACGAUAAGGAUUUGUCUAAUGUUUUGUAGCAUGAUCCAUUAAUAAUUAUAUAUUUAUUAUACAUUUGUACACCUAUAAGUUAUUAAAUUCGUAUUAAUUUUUUAAAGUAAA